UCGGGCGCGUUCGCCUUGGUGACUCUGGAUACUUUGGCGGAUCGCACGGUCUAGCACCGGCGACGGAUCAUUCAAGUGUCUGCCCUAUCAACUUUCGUCGGUACGGUAUUUGCCUACCGAGGUUCUUACGGGUGACGGGGAAUCAGGGUUCGAUUCCGGAGAGGGAGCCUGAGAAACGGCUACCACAUCCAAGGAAGGCAGCAGGCGCGCAAAUUACCCAUUCCCGACGCGGGGAGGUAGUGACGAAAAAUAACAAUGCAGGACUCGUUCGAGGCCCUGUAAUUGGAAUGAGUACACUUUAAAAGCUUUAACGAGUAUCCAUUGGAGGGCAAGUCUGGUGCCAGCAGCCGCGGUAAUUCCAGCUCCAAAAGUAUAUAUUUAAGUUGUUGCGGUUAAAAAGCUCGUAGUUGGAUUUUGGGCGCAGGCGGCCGGUCCGUCGCAAGGCGUGUACUGGACGUCCUGGCCUUCCCUCCGGUUCUCCGCCGGUGCUCUUGACUGAGUGUCGGCGGCGGCCGGAACGUUUACUUUGAAAAAAUUAGAGUGUUCAAAGCAGGCUCUCGAGCCUGGAUAAUGGUGCAUGGAAUAAUGGAAUAGGACCUCGGUUCUAUUUUGUUGGUUUUCGGAGCGCGAGGUAAUGAUUAAGAGGGACAGACGGGGGCAUUCGUACUGUGCCGUUAGAGGUGAAAUUCUUGGAUCGGCGCAAGACGAACGACUGCGAAAGCAUUUGCCAAGAAUG
rnacentral:ncRNA from 1 species